rnacentral:piRNA from 1 species
UGUGUGGUCAGUGAUGUGACUCUGGG